rnacentral:lncRNA from 1 species
CUUAGUCUAAAGAAAAAUUGCUAUUUACUCUUAGUGCUGUUAUAACAAAGCACCAUAGCCUGCUUGGCUGAAACAACAGAAAUUUAUUGUUAUAACUCUAGAGGCUAGAAAUUCAAAGUCAAGAGUUUGCAGGAUUGGCUCCUUCUGAGGGCAGAAGGAUCUGUUCCAGGCCUCUCUCCUCGGCUUGAGAUGACUGCCUUCUCUCUACGUCUUUUCACAUGUUCUUCCCUCAGUGCCUGUCUGUGUCCAAAUUUUCCCAUUUUAGAGGGACACUGGAUUGGUACCCACCUGAAUGACUUCAUUUUAACUUGAUUACCUCUGUACAGAUCCCAUCUCCAAAUAAGGUCACAUUCUGAGGAACUGAGGGUUAGGACUUCAGUAUAUAAAUUGGGGGGAGGGGAGAGACAAAAUUCAACCCAUCACAGUUCUAAUUUUGAAAAUUAUUUAAAAGAUCAUAUCAAGAAAUUAUGAUCAGCAAGAGUCUUCUGGGGCUAUAGAAAUGAAUAAUAAUAAUAAUUUAAAAAACCCCACCAGUCUUUGAGUCUGUGAUUUACAGAUGAUGGAGUGUGGUAAAACGUUCCUUUCCCGGCAGGGAUCUGUGAGUUGAGUCACUCCUCCCCCAUUCAAGGCCCACAGCACCUGGAGCCCAAGUUUUCUCCACCCUCGAAAGCAGGAAGUAUUCUACUCACGGCUAAUUACACUGCCUGCCCUUCCCCACGGUAUUGAAAAUAUUUCUUUGAUGAUGUCAAAUCUGUACUCCUGUGACUGAUAAAACUUUUCAGUUUCACUCUGGUUCUCCAAGUACUUUUUCAGAUCAGGGGAAAUCUGACAGACUAGCUAUGUGUCAUCAGUACGUGUGCUUUAUUUAGGAUGAGGCUCUACGGUGGAGCCUAGCUUUGGGUCCAAGGGGGACUCCUGGCCUGGGUGCCUGUCAUGGGCCCCUCCUUGGUGGCCGUGUGCUCACUGGGCUUCUCUCUGACCGGCUUCAAAGAAGAUGUAAUCAUCUCUCCAUUCAUUUGUUUCUCUCAUUGGACUGUCUGUCUUAUUCACUGUGUCUCAUUAAUAGCUGAUGCUGAGUAGCUGAGCUUUCUGGACUAGUGAGCAAAUCCCAAACUGCUUGUGUGAGGAGACCCUGCCUCCUGAGACAGUAUAUGGCUUUGGCAAAUGACCAUCUGAGGGGAAGGGGCCCAGAGAGCAAGUGUGGUAGAAUGCAAGUUGGAAAU